AUUGAACGCUGGCGGCAGGCCUAACACAUGCAAGUCGAGCGAGCGGCGGACGGGUGAGUAAUGUCUGGGAAACUGCCUGAUGGAGGGGGAUAACUACUGGAAACGGUAGCUAAUACCGCAUACCAUCAGAUGUGCCCAGAUGGGAUUAGCGAGGAGGUGGGGGAACGGCUCACCUAGGCGACGAUCCCUAGCGGGUCUGAGAGGAGGACCAGACAUGCUGGAACUAAGACACGGGCCAGACUCCUACGGGAGGCAGCAGUGGGGAAUAUUGCACAAUGGGCGCAAGCCUGAGGCAGCCAUGCCGCGUGUGGGAAGAAGGCCUGCGGGUUGUAAAGCACUUUCAGCGGGGAGGCGUUACCCGCAGAAGAAGCACCGGCUAACUCCGUGCCAGCAGCCGCGGUAAUUC
rnacentral:rRNA from 1 species